GUGAAUCAUAGGGAGCAAGUGCGUUUCUAGAAAUAUGUCGAGCAACCGGCAUCAUAGCACGACAAUGAUCAGUGUAGUGUACAUGUCUAUUAGCGCGUAUUGUGUCCUUAAGCAUUUAGCUGAAAAUUACUAAAAUUAAGAGGAAAAAUGGUGCGUAACUACGUGCGCAAAAACCCAAAAAGGAUCAUCCUCAGAAGAUGCCAUUCGUGGUACCUUAGAAGCGAUUCAAAAUAAAGAGAUGUCAAUUAAAAAAGCUAGUGCGGUUGUUAGUAUUCCGAGAACUAUACAAUCACGAUUAAAGCGUCGACAGCUCACUCCACUUAUAAACCACGGCAGGUUGAAACCCGUAUUCACUGAAAAAAUGGAAAAUGAAUUAUGUGAACACAUAAUUUUGUUGGAAAAACUGUUUUGUGGACUUUCGACCACAGAUCUUUGAAGGAUUGCAUUUCAAUUUACUGAAGCCAAUCAAAUAAGUCAUCCUUUUAAUAAAGAACUGGGUGAGCUCAUUUUUAAAUCGUCAGAAAAUCCUCUCCAUUCGAAGAUCUGAAAAAACCAGCAUUGCAAGAGUAACAGGAUUUUCCAAUUCUAGGGUUAAUGAUUUUUUUCAAAACUUAAAAAAGGCCCUUAGACAAGUUUAAUUUUUCGCCGCAUCGGAUUUUUAACUGCGAUGAGACGGGGAUUACCUGCGUUCAAAAACCGGGAAAAAUUUUAGCUGAAAAGGGAAGAAAGCAAGUGGGAAGAUUAACUUCUUUAGAGAGAGGAAAAAACACAACUUUAUUAGCUUGUGUCAGCGCUACAGGUACGUUUAUUCCACCAUUUAUGGUCUUCCCUCGUGUUCGAAUGAAUCCUGGUUUUUUGAGCGGUUCGUUUCCUGGAGCAGUAGGAUCUCCUGCUCCAUCAGGCUGGAUGGAUGCUGACCUAUUUAUCAAAUUUUUAAAUUAUUUUAUAGGCUGCACCAAAACAACAACAGAUUGUCCAAGUCUACUUAUACUAGAUGGACAUUCAAGUCAUAAGUCCAUUAAUUUAGUAAACCUGGCUAGAAAAUCAGGAGUUUCUAUUAUAACCUUACCUCCUCACACAUCAAAUAAGUUGCAACCGCUAGACGUAAGUGUCUUUGGACCAUUUAAAACCUAUCUGGCAGGAGAAAUGGAUCACUGGCUUACAAAUCAUCCAGGCUCUAGGAUCACAGAAUAUGAUAUGGCUCCUAUUAUUAAAAAUGUGCUUAUUAAGGCUUUUACACUAAUAAAUAUUAUUAAGGGUUUUGAAAAAACAGGAAUCUACCCAUAUAAUCCAUAUGUGUUUCAAGACAGUGACUUUGCGCCAGCCGUAAACAUUCUUCAAAAGGAAUGUAGGACAGAAAACAUUAAUCCCGUCGAGGGUCCCGUAAUAAGUGAUGAAGUCUUGUUGAGAAAAGAUGAUAUCCAGAGUACUUCUAAAUAAUUAGUAAACAAUUUUGAACAAGAGCAACCAUCAUGUAGUUAUGUUUCAGUUUCAACUUUAAGCCCAGUUCCAUAACCCUCUCAAAAGAAUGAAAAUGCCAAAUCCAAAUUUAGGCGCAUAGAAGGAUCUAAAAUAAUAACCAGUUCUCCUUACAAAGAUCAAUUGGAAGAAAAAUUAAAACCAGUGAAAGCUAAGCAAGCAAAAAAGAAACUAGACGACAAAGCUAGUAAUGGAUAAAAAUUAAAAGAAGGAAUUUCUAAGCAAAAGAAGCAAAGUCAAGAGCAGAAGAGGAACAACACAACACAAAAACAAUGCCGGACGAAGAGAAAAACACAUUAAGCAUUUACUAUUAUGAGACCUACGAAGAGACACUUGUUCUGAAGAAUGGAUAAUGUGCAUGCAAUGUGGUGCCUGGUUACAUGAGGAUUGUUCCGAUAAUGAGCCAAGUACUAAUAAUUAUGUUUGUAACAAUUAUCGUUGAUUAAUUAGCAUUCGGACUCACUUGCCUCAGGUGGGUGACUCACUUACUCCUAUAACUUGGGGCAAGAGAGUCAUUUUUCUUUUUUUGUUUUAAGUUUGAUAUUUUUCCAAAGAGUUAAUGUUUAGUUUAUUUUUAAGGUUAUGUUAGAAUGUUUGAAACCGAUUAAACUCGUGUUACAAACGA
rnacentral:lncRNA from 1 species